rnacentral:rRNA from 1 species
UACGUAGGGGGCAAGCGUUGUCCGGAAUUAUUGGGCGUAAAGGGCGCGUAGGCGGUGCGGUAAGUCUGUAGUGAAAUCUCUGGGCUCAACUCAGAGUCUGCUGCAGAAACUGCCGUGCUUGAGUGUGGGAGAGGUGAGUGGAAUUCCUGGUGUAGCGGUGAAAUGCGCAGAUAUCAGGAGGAACACCGGUGGCGAAGGCGGGUCUCUGGGCAGUAACUGACGCUGAGGAGCGAAAGCGUGGGGAGCGAACAGG